rnacentral:rRNA from 1 species
UACGGAGGAUGCAAGCGUUAUCCGGAUUCAUUGGGUUUAAAGGGUGCGUAGGCGGACUAUUAAGUCAGUGGUGAAAGCCUGCAGCUUAACUGCAGAACUGCCAUUGAUACUGAUAGUCUUGAGUUUGGUUAAGGUAGGCGGAAUGUGUAAUGUAGCGGUGAAAUGCUUAGAUAUUACACAGAACACCAAUUGCGUAGGCAGCUUACUGAGCCGACACUGACGCUGAGGCACGAAGGCGUGGGGAUCAAACA